UACGUAGGUGGCGAGCGUUGUCCGGAUUUACUGGGCGUAAAGGGAGCGUAGGCGGACUUUUAAGUGAGAUGUGAAAUACCCGGGCUCAACUUGGGUGCUGCAUUUCAAACUGGAAGUCUAGAGUGCAGGAGAGGAGAAUGGAAUUCCUAGUGUAGCGGUGAAAUGCGUAGAGAUUAGGAAGAACACCAGUGGCGAAGGCGACUUUCUGGACUGUAACUGACGCUGAGGCUCGAAAGCGUGGGGAGGCAAACAGGAUUAGAUACCCGUGUAGU
rnacentral:rRNA from 1 species